rnacentral:rRNA from 1 species
UACGUAGGCAGCAAGCGUUGUUCGGAGUUACUGGGCGUAAAGGGUGUGUAGGCGGUUAUUUAAGUUUGGUGUGAAAUCUCCCGGCUCAACCGGGAGGGUGCGCCGAAUACUGAAUGACUUGGAGUGCGGGAGAGGAAAGUGGAAUUCCUGGUGUAGCGGUGAAAUGCGUAGAUAUCAGGAGGAACACCGGUGGUGUAGACGGCUUUCUGGACCGUAACUGACGCUGAGACACGAAAGCUAGGGGAGCAAACGGG